rnacentral:rRNA from 1 species
GUUUAUUAAAAACAUGGCUUGUUGAUUAUAAUUUCAGGUUUGACCUGCCCAAUGAUGAAUUUAAUGGCCGCGGUAUAUUGACCGUGCAAAGGUAGCAUAAUCAUUAGUUUUUUAAUUGAAAGCUUGAAUGAAGGGUUUGAUGAGAAAAAGGCUGUCUCUGUUUAAAUUUAAUAGAAUUUUAUUUUUAAGUGAAAAAGCUUAUAUUUUUAUUGAAGACGAGAAGACCCUAUAGAGUUUUAUAUUUCAGAAAAUUUAAUAUUUUAGGCAUUAAGAAUUUUGAUUUUCAAGAAUAUUUUGUUGGGGUGAUGGAAAAAUUGAUUUAACUUUUUUUUAAUUUAUUCAUUUAUUUGUGAGUUUUUGAUCCUGAAAUUAAGAUUAUAAGAUAAAAUUACCUUAGGGAUAACAGCGUAAUUUUUUAUAGAGUUCUUAUCGAAUAAAAAGAUUGCGACCUCGAUGUUGGAUUAAAAUUAAUUUAUGGUGUAGGAGCUAUAAAGUUGGGUCUGUUCGACCUUUAAAUUUUUACAUGAUCUGAGUUUAAACCGGUGUGAGCCAGGUCGGUUUCU